AAAAUGAAAAUUCUUUUUUCCUCUGAAUCCUUGGCUCAGGCCAAGUCGAAUGAACCCCGAAAUUCAAAAAUCGCAAGGUUUAGUUUUUUCGCUAUUUUCAAUUGUUCGAAAAACCUACUUUUACGAACUCGUCCUAGACGGUUAGUCCGAUUUUCACGAAAAUUGGCUCAGAUCAUCUUCAGACGAUGCCGGCAAAAAGUUAUGGAAUUCAAGUUGAUUUGUCCAACCGUUCUCGAAUACCACGCGAACAAAUUCUACGAAAAGCACGCAAAAAUGCUUGUGAGGCUAUAACUCCGCAACGGUUUGGCGUAUUGAGACCAAACUUGGUGUGUGUUGUAACAAGCAUGACCUGAGAUUACCUGCAGUGUUUCGACGCAGCGCCACCUAGUGGUUAGGAGAUAUGAAAAAUGCAUAUUUUUGCUUAUAACUUCUGAAUGGUUUGGCAAAAAAUAAUAAAACUGGUCUCAUUAGAUUCGGUCGGUCAUGUCGAGUCGAAGGAUAUCCAAUUUUCCCGUGUCGGCCAUUUUAGGUGUCGGCCAUUUUGAAUUAUGUUUCAAAAUGCUGUAUUUUUUUG
ensembl:lncRNA